rnacentral:misc_RNA from 1 species
GAAAUGCGAUACGUAAUGUAAAUUACAGAUUUCAGUGAAUCAUCGAAUCUUUGAACGCACAUUGCGCCCGCUAGUAUUCUGGCGGGCAUGCCUGUUCGAGCGUCAUUUCAACCAUUAAGCCCCCGGCUUGUGUUAGGGUCCUGCGGCUGCCGCAGACCCCCAAAUCCAGUGGCGGGCUCGUCGUCGUACCGAGUGCAGUAAACAUCCUCGCUCAGGGAACGCGUCGGGUUCCGGCCGUAAAACACCCCCUAUAUUAAGGUUAACCUCGGAUCAGGUAGGAAUACCCGCUAAACUUAA